rnacentral:lncRNA from 10 species
GAGUUUCCCUACACAAGCUCGUCUGUUUGCCUGCUGCCAUCCUUGUAAGACAUGACUUGCUCCUCCUUGCCUUUUGCAGUGAUUGUGAGGUCUCCCCAGCCAUGUGGAACUGCUUGAGUUGGGAAACCAGUUCUCCCACUUCAUUAAUAAUGAUGUCGAUGUUCCUGGCAGUGUUUAUACCAAAUGCUACUUUGACCUUUGCGCCUUGGCACACGACAGUAGCCUAUAUUUGCCAUUUUGUCUUCUUGACAUAGAAAGAGCAUGGGAACUGAAGGUUGUUUCAAGGUUGGAAGACAAAGACUUCUAUGGUACUGCCAACAAAAGGAAAAGGUCUUUGAGUUCUGAUGAUUUAAUUGAUCUUCAGUGCCUUAAGGCCAUCCUCUCCUGAAGGAAGAAGUGAGGGGUUAUAUAACAUCUGAACCCCUCAUCAAAAAAGACAGGAAAAUAUCACCUUUCCUGCUGAAGAACUAGAAAAGUACUUUCAAAAGAAGAAACACCUACAAUUCAAGUUAACUCAAGGACAACUAGGAUUGCACUUCAUAGAAAAGAAUGGGACCUUGUCAAUGCAACAACACACUCUUACACUCUUCUGUCCCUUUUAAUGUAAAGAGAGUUAUAAAAACCACUCCAAAGUGAAGGCUCCUAUGUGAGCUGAUAGCAGUGAACUAUGUAAGGGUUUAAAACAAUGGUUUAAAUUUUUAGAUUUUAAAGAUAACUUUUCUGUUUCUUUUAUAUUUUUCUUUCCCCCAAUAUUGCUGCAUAUGCAUUUAGCAUCAUAUUACCAUUAAAACAUAGGACUCUUAACAACUCAUAAAGCCACUAGGAGCAGAUGCAGCAUUGUCAGGUACUGAAGGGGCUCUUCCUUCCUACUCUUAGAAUCGAAGCUACUAGUUACUGGCAAUCAUUUUAAGCAAAAGCUUCUGGAUAACAUUUGCCAUUCAUAUCCUCUGUAAGCACUUCUUAUUAGCAGUUAGCAUGUUUGGGGUCAUAAAAAGAGAAAAUAUUGGUUAUUGAUUAUCUACUUUUAUUAGGGUCUGUGGUGUAUUUCUUGUGAACUAUAAUGGUUCUCAUUUGCUGAUAAAUUUUCUUAUUUUUUAAAUAAAGGUAUUAAAAGAUGUUUUCAUAGUGCCAAGCAACAUGGUGAUCCAGUGGUAAUAAAAAAUGAUAAAACAUGAGGUGUCCUGAAAGUUUCAGGACAGUUUUUAGCUUUAACAUAGUAUGCUUGUGCCCUCCAGAGCACUGAAGCAUACAUAUGCAGGCUAUAAACCUUUACAAAAUAUAAUUUGAAAUUUUAAUUGUAUUUCUUCUUUUUUUUUUUAAAUAGAUGUUGUCUCAGUAUGUUACCCAAUGUACAGUGCAAUGAUUAUUCAGAGGCACAGUCAUAGCAUACCACAGCCUGGAAAUCCUGGCCUCAAGCAAUCCUCCCAUGUCAGCCUACCAAGCAGCUGGGACUAUAGGUGUGUACCACCACCUCUGGCUUCAUUUUGCAGAAUUUGAAUAUUAAGCAUUUAACUUUUUGUCUCAUCAAUAUCUGCUAUCGUCAAGAAGGACUGAAACAAAAAAUUAAAGGUUAAUAUUCAGGAGCUAGGCAUGCCUGUAGUCCCAGCUACUCAUAAGGCUUAAAUGGCAGGAUCACUUGAGGCCUAGCAUUGGAGGCUGCAGUGCGCUGUGAUUGUGCCUGGAAAUAGCCAUUGCACUCCAGCCUUGGCAACAUACUGAGACCCUGUCACUCUAAAAAAUGGCAAAACUAAAUAAAGGUAAAAGAAAUAUAACAAACCUUUCAGUGAUGCUUUGUAAAUAUUUGUAGCAUUGAUACUUCUACAAGUAUCAAAGCUUAAAAUUACACUAAGCCUUUUGGAAUUGUUGUAUUUUUAUAAAGUGCCCUUUUCUCUUUUGAAGUAGUUCUUUGCAGGGCUUUCAUCUGCAUUGAUCACCCAAAAUUAUUUUCUCUAGAUGUGAUACAGAAUAGGAUCAGUUUUAAUGCACAUGUAACAAAUUUGAAGGAACUGGACCUUAAUAGUAGUAGAUGAUCUAAUACAUUUUAUUAUCCCGCAUGUUAACCUGGAGGCAGGUAUCAUAUUUUAUGUCCAUAAACCUUAGGAACCUUACCUCCUAAAAAAAUUAUCAUUUAUGGAGUGCAGAGCUUAGAGAUUGAAGUAUUGACUGCAGUUUUAUUUUCAAAAGGUAAAUGCUACAAUUUAUGUGGUUUUUAUUUCUCAUGUUUACAUUAAAAGAAAACCUAAUAAACUUUUAAUUAAAAUGUGACUAGUGGGCCGAGCACAGUGGCUCACACCUGUAAUCCUAGCACUUUGGGAGGCCAAGGCAGGUAGUUCAGAAGGUCGGGAGUUCAAGACCAGCCUGGUCAACGUGGUGAAACCUCAUCUCUACUAAAAAUACAGAAAUUAGCUGGGUGUGGUGGCACACACCUGUAAUCCCAGCUACUUUGGAGGCUGAGGCAGGAGAAUUGCUUGAACCUGAGGGGCGGAGGUUGCAGUGAGCCAAGAUCGCGCCACUGCACUCCAGCCUGGGCGACAGAGUGAGACUCUGUCUCAAAAAAAAAAAAAAUUGUGACUAGUAUGUUUUUAACUCUUCUAUUCACAUAGUGUUACAUCUCUGCGUAACUUAAAUGAUUCAAGUCAGUCUUGAUAUGUCUUAAAGCAUUUUUAUAAGUUGCCUGGACUAUUCACAAAUUGGUUUAAUCCAUGCCUCUAUGUAAGACAUAAUAUUUGUUUUUUCUGGCUUAAGCUCUUUUCAAUUUUAAGAUAAUUUAUUACACUUAAAAUCACUCUCUGGCCACAAUACUUAGUGGCAUAGCGUAUUAGAUGGCAUCUUUGAAUAGUUGGUUAUUGUGUCUGAGAGGAAAAAGCAUGUUAGAAUAUAAAAUUAGGUCAAUACACCAAAGAGAAAGGAUUCCCAGGAAUAGUGUAGAAUUAGAACAAGGGUGUUUGAGGUUUUCAAACAGUUACACAGAAAAAAAGUGGAAGUACAGAAAGUAGAAUUAAAGUUGUUGUACAGAGGGUGGCUCAGACCACAUAAUUUGACUUUAGCACACUGCUUUCAAGCUUACCUUUUAGUUAAAAAUAUAUCAAAUCACUGUUAGUUUUUUUUUUUUAGAACUAAGAGUCUAGCCACUUAGCUUCAGUGAUUCUCACUAAAUCCUAAUAAUAUUGGUAUAUUUUCAUCUACUUUAAUUCUUUAGUACCUAAGGUAAAAUCUUUAAAUAACUCAUCACCUCAUCUUGAUAAACUGCAGACUAGAAUCAGUGAUCUGAUUUAGAAGAAAAAGUCUAUCAUGAAUCCCUGUUUAUAAGAUGCUUUGCACCAUGUAAUAUGCAAUAACUAAGUAGAGAUCCUGACAUACAUGAGUGGUCAAAGGUUUAAAAAACUAGUUUGGGAGAGGGGCACUGGACAUAAAUCCAUGACUUCAAGAGUAAGUCAGGGCCAGGUGUGGUGGCUCAUGCCUGUAAUGCCAGCACUUUGGGAGGGUGAGGUGGGCAGAUUACUUGAGUCCAGCAGUUCAACACCAGCCUGGCCAAGGUAGCAAAACCCCAUCUCUACUAAAAAUACAAAAAUUAGCCAAGCUUGGUGGCAUCUGCCGAUGUUCCUAGCUCCUUGGGAGGCUGAUUCAUGAAAGUCGCUUGAGCCUGGGAGGCAGACGUUGCAGUGAGCAGUGAGCAUGCCUGCGCUCCACCCUGGGUGACAGAGCGAGACCUUGUCUCACACACACACACAAAAGAGUAAGUCAGUAGAAUAAGGACCACUAACAUUGCUCUCCCCUUUGGCUUGAAUUCUAGAAGGCAAUACAGUCAUUUUGAUACAUGGAAAAUUGGGUCAAUUUAGAAUAAGAAUAUAAACGUGACUGAAAGUGGGCAGGUUCUCUGACAAAUGUUUGGGGUAUGGAAACUAAGUUUCUAGUAGGGUGGUAACUAUGGCAGUUUUCUUAGAGUUUGAUAUCUGGGAAAGAUUUGUUGUCUAACACAAGACUAUGAAAAAGAUUAUCUGACUACCAAAGCUCAAAUUUACUUUCAUUUUUAGGGUUAUUUCCACUUUUGUAAUACAGACACCAGUGAAAUUUUUAACUCUGGUAUUGUGUGAACUAAAACUUUUACCUCUUCAUUACAAGGAAAAGACAAUAGAUCACUACCCAUCAAUACAAAAGAACAAGCUACUAAAACAUGGAUGACCUGGACCUGUGACGGACUAAAUGGCACUGUGUUUGACUCGUGGAUCUGACACAAACUAAGUGGGUCUGGAUAAUUCAUGGACACUCUGAGGUCCAAUCUCUUAAUGGUUUCAAAUGAGUCACAAGUAGAUGACCAUAAACACCUUUCGUGAACCAUCACGGUGGAAUUCUGUGAGGUUAAGAUAUCAAGACUAGCGUGACUAGUGUCACGUGGUUAUGGACAGGUGUGAGAGCAGUGCAGUGUCUUUCAAGAGUGGGAGUUGUUUAGAGAUGGAGGAAACAGGAUUUCCACCCUCUGCCUGCUUACCUCUUACCCCUAGACCUCCCCACAAGCUCUCCUUUGAAGUGGCCUCCUGUCUCCCCUUGGUCUUCUCAAAGCUGGUCCAGGCAUUCCACUGUCACAGACUCUAGUGGUUUCUGGAGAUAAUGACAUCACCAGAUCCAGCUCAUUCUGGCGGGUGGAUCAAGCACUGUUUCUGGCUAUGCUCCGUCCUGUCUGGGCUUUUCUGCCUCUGCUGGGAAGCUCUGGAGAGUGGUAAGGUCAGAGGGGUGUUCUCUUUCUAGGAAAGAUUCCUGUUCCCAGUGGCCCCCUGCUUCCUAAUUCACAAGAGCUGCUUUGCUCUACAGUGAAAUUAUUUCUUGGGAGCUGGGACCAGGGCCUGGGAAACAAAUUUUAGGGACACAAACCUGGCCCUCUGGAAUUCAAUACAUUGGACUGAAAACAUAGACAGCUUGGUAGUGCCAGAGUGGCUAGGCGCCUUCGUGUGACCCAACGGAUCUGACCAGACACUACCAGAAAGCCUAAAAUAUAUCUGACACAAGGUAAGGUUCUACCCACAUUCACUUCCCAUUAUUUCCCUGUGUAUUUUGGGUCAUGUCACUUUGCUCAGUGCUGUAAAGACCGCAGGGCUGGUUUUAGGCAGGUGUGAUAUUCGACAGCACCUGAGACCGGAAAUAAAUCACACCUGCCCUUGAACCUAAAUUUCCUCACUGCUAGCUUGUGACGUGGGCGCACUGUUCCUCCAACCUGAACCUCGGUUGUUAUUUUUAAUGCAGACGGUUAUGCCGGCCUCAUAGAGUACUUGUGAGGUUUAGGUGAGUCAUCCAAUGAAAAGAACAAAGUGUCUUCUAAAUACAAUAGCAGCUGUCACUUACUCAGGGUUUAGUAACUGCACUUGGCUGUUUGCUUUACAGCCAAGUGUAUGAUUUACCUAAGUUUCAAAACAACGCCAUGAAGCAGGCAUUAACACCCUCAUUUUCAGCUCGGGGUCUUGCCACAGACACAGCGCCCACGAGUUCUGGCACUUUGGUCAACGUUUAUAAACGGGCUCUCCUCUGCCGCCGCGGGCAUGCGCUUUCCCCAAGGUUCGCACUGAACACCUGUUCCUAAAGGGGGCGCAGCUCCACCUGCGUCCCCGGGACCUCUAGCGUGAGGGGGUCGAUCCUGGGGUCCCCCCGGGCUUCCCGUUCUCACCCUCUGAAUCACAAGCCCCAUUCUCACUAGAAGUUGACAGGCUGUGGGGAGACCUGGUUUCCCCGCGUCCCACUUCAGGUGAGCACCUUCCCCGCCCGCGACACCCAAGGGCCCCGGGACCACCUCUCAGCCUUAGCUAGGCGUGAAGCAGCGAGCUAAGCUUGCACAUGCGCAGACGUCAUCCAGAAGACCCUUUCCUAGAGUGUGGCGCGCGAGCCAUUCGGAUUUAAGACUACGUUUCCCAGAAACCUCCACGCCACGACUUACUUCGCAGCGUUUUCUCUAUUGGAUGAUUGGAAGAUGUUCCUGACUGCCUCGCCUGGCCAGGUUCUGCCAGAGCCCCUAGAGGUUAUGGGUUAAAUUUGAACUUUGCUGCCGAAUACGGUGCGUGGUCCUCCAUCAAAUCCCGAUUGGAAAAAACAGCUGCCAAACACGUUGGAAA